CCUAGGGAGGUAGCAGUGAGGAAGAGUGGUCAAGGGGCGGUAGCCGGAACCAGACAAGUAGCGUGAAGGAGGACGGGCCUAGGGGUUGUAAACUUCUUUUAUAUGGGAAUAAAGUGCAGUAUGUAUACUGCUUUGCAUGUACCUUAUGAAUAAGGAUCGGCUAACUCCGUGCCAGCAGCCGCGGUAAUACGGAGGAUCCGAGCGUUAUCCGGAUUUAUUGGGUUUAAAGGGAGCGUAGGCGGGUUGUUAAGUCAGUUGUGAAAGUUUGCGGCUCAACCGUAAAAUUGCAGUUGAUACUGGCAUCCUUGAGUACAGUAGAGGUAGGCGGAAUUCGUGGUGUAGCGGUGAAAUGCUUAGAUAUCACGAAGAACUCCGAUUGCGAAGGCAGCCUGCUGGACUGUAACUGACGCUGAUGCUCGAAAGUGUGGGUAUCAAACAGGAUUAGAUACCCCAGUAGUC
rnacentral:rRNA from 1 species